UACAGAGGGUGCUAGCGUUGUUCGGAAUCAUUGGGCGUAAAGGGCGUGUAGGCGGUUUGUUAAGUCAUGUGUGAAAUCCCUCGGCUCAACCGGGGAACGACGCAUGAAACUGGCAAGCUAGAGUACCAAAGAGGGGGGUGGAAUUCCCGGUGUAGCGGUGAAAUGCGUAGAUAUCAGGAGGAACACCGGUGGCGAAGGCGGUUCUCUGGGCCUGUACUGACGCUGAGGAGCGAAAGCGUGGGGAGCGAACAGG
rnacentral:rRNA from 1 species